GGGCCCCAGCCUAGAGGGGCGCUCGAGGGGAAGCGAGUGAAGUGAGGGCUCCGCCAGAGCAGCACCCCCUUCCCCGCCGUCCCUCCCGGACUGGCCGGUUCUCGUCAGAGAUUCCUUUGUCUUCGACGCUGGUCCCUCCACACCAAGAUGAAGAAAUUGAGAAACAGAAAGUAUGAUGAUUUGCUUAAGACCAGAUGACAAUUAUCUGCAGAAUGAAGACAAUCCUGACCUCCAUCAGUGGAUCCCUUCGCCACCUCCACAGUCUCCCCAUUGCAUGGACACAGACACAUGACAGAUGCACACAUAUGUGCAAAACACUUAUACAGAACACACUCCUCCACCUCCACCUCACUACCACGCAAUCCCAAGACAGCAUUGCCCUUCUCUGGACCCAGCCACUCGGUCAACACAUAUUUACGAACAUUAUGCUAGGCACUGGCAAUAAAAUAAUGAACACCAGAAGACACAGUUCCUGAGUCUCACAGAGAUGACCCAGGAUCAUUCAGAGUCUAGGAUGAGGCAGGGAUUAGGUGGGGAUGAGGAUGAUAAGAGCAGCGUUGGGGAAGUACAGGAUAAGAUGAGAACACACACCAAGGGCACCUAACUUUUUCUCUGGAGGACCAG
rnacentral:lncRNA from 10 species